GAAGCGUUGUUUUUCUUCAUUGUACUUGAAUGCGAAACGAUGGCAGAUGAAAUCGAUUAACUUUGAUCAUCUUUUUGAAAUAGUCUUCGCACAAAAAUCUUCAGCGACGGAAAUAUACAAAGUGGAAGACAAGUGUACGACGUGUCAUAGUCCACCUUGUGAAACAAUGUUUUCCGAGAAGGAUAGAGUUACAAGAACUAAGAUCAGCGAUAGUACCAGAGAGUAGUUUUUAUAGAGAGAUUCCUAGGUCUCCAACCACUCCCACACAGGCCAAAGAACCACCCGAAGUACAGAGUGGAUGCACAGGGAUCUCGAGGGUUCAACAUGCCCUAUUACCAAAAUGAUUCCUAGUUCUAACGAAAUCAUUAGAAACUAAAAAUAGAAUACUCGUGCAUGUAGAUCGUGUGUGUGAGAGAAAGAGGUAAACAAAAAUAUACGUGCAAAUAAAAGGGGAAAAUUGGUGAGAACAGAAAAGGAUUAGAGGCUGGGAACGAAUUAAGAAAAAUUAACGGAUCGGAGAUGGAAAGGUUCAAGGCUAAUCUUGUUUAUCUUGUAAGGACAAGGGUGGGGGGAAAGAUAUGCCCUACAACAGAUUUAGUUCCAAACAACGUAACCGUCCUCCGUAUAGAUCACCAUGCACCUGUGUUUUAAUGUCCACGUAUAUCAGUAGGUGCGUGCAUGUUGCAUUCGUGUUUUCUUUCGACUCGUGCAGUGAUGCAUCCUUUUUGCGUGUAUGCAGAAAUUCGUGCAGUAUUCUCAGUGAAUAUUAUCAUUGUAACAAGGUAAUGUGAUAGGUUACAGGCUUAUCCAUAGAUGGAGCUCCUGAUGUUGCGAAGUAAUUGUUAUGGGGCAUAAGUUUCGCGUUUGAAAUCUCUUCGAGAUCUUGGACAAGCCCGAGUUUUCAAAUGUAGAAAUAUAUUUCUAGUUAGUGAUUAGUAUAGUUUUGCUAUUAUAUAUGAAGAUACUUGUUUGUUAUUGUAUUGUGCUAAGUAGUAUUUUGCUUUGUUAAGUAGUACCAAGCGACAGAAACAGUGUCAGUAAACAAGGGACGUGCUGACGCAUAUGGUGCAAAAGUUAGCGCGAUGAUAUGUGGUCAUAGAUGAAUGUUACAACAAGUGACAGUCGGGAAACGAUUUCAGAUCGGAAUGAGGAUAUGUAUGUCACACGGAAUAGCCAGAAGAAUGUAGAGAAACAAGGCCAGACAGAAGACAAUGAAGCGAACUGGACUCGGCGACGGUGACUGCGAUCAUAACUCACGUUUAACUCCUUCUUGUGGACCGGUAUUUUGAAGGAUACUAGCCUUUAUCGUUUUUUUUAUAUAUACAUUUUGACAUUCUUUUCUAUUGGAAACGUAAAGCUUCAUGUGCCGCCUGGCUAGUAAAUACGCUGGGCUUCAGGAUAAUUGGGAAUUUAUUGUUCGCGAAAUGAUAUAAUUUGGAGGUUUUGUGUGGGAGUCUCAUUGCGCGGGCAGGGGGUGGUUGCGCGCGAACUUAGUCUCAAGAGGACUUCCGGUUUUCGAGUAACUUAUAAAAUAGAUUUACUUUUUCAAUUUUUGGUACAAGGAAUAAUAUUGACGUUGUUAACGAAGUCGAGUAAAAUAAAGACUUUUGGGAAUUAAAUUAAGCGGAAGUCGUCCUAAUAAUAAAUUCAUUGGAACAGGUAAAAUGUUUAUUUUACAAAUCGGUAGUAACACAGCAAUUCCUAUUUGUAGGACUAAAGAUUAGAAGACUUCAUUUAUAAUAACAAAUAUUACAUAUAUAAAAUUUGUAUUGUCCAUA